CUUCAACAUUCUUCAUCCUGAAUAUAUUCUCUUCGGGCUAGGGGAUCAUAUCUUCCAGACAGCCAUUACAUGAGCCGCUGUCUUUCUCUCUAGUACUCUCUAUAAUACUACGUAGGGACCUUACCACUAGUGGAAUUAGACAGGGCAGGAGGAGGCACAAAAAAAAAUAAUAAAUUCUACUCCUCCUACUAAUGUCUUAAUUCCUCCAAGCUGCUCAUACCAACUUCCAAACCAACUACUUAGGUUAUACCCAUUCCAGACCUGAGUAGGUACAUGCUCAAAUUUAACCAUGUGGCUUGUAAGUUCAGCCACUGCCUGCCCUUCAUCAUCUAUGUGCAGACAACAGUUACUUAGAUUAAACUUUCCGCAUACACCUCCUUCUACUGCUAGUAAGUAAUCAAAGGCUAGCCUAUUCUGGUAUAUGGCUGAUCACAUCUUGGUAUUUUGCUUAGCUAGAAGAUUAAGCACUUGAGCUGUGUCAUUAGUAAUAAUCUCAACUACCGCCCGUAGUCUAAUAAUGCGGUUGAGCAUAUAUAAUCGGAGUUCUAUAUCCAUAAGUACCAUCUUCUGCCCAAGUAGCAGGUCCAUAAUAAUUAAUAAUACGUUGAGGGGGCCACUCAUUAUCUUCCCAGCUACCUAUAUUCAAGGAUGCUCUCUCCCUUUUAUGAUUUACAUCGUAAACCUUAACUCCCAAGGUCUCUCCUGUUUCGAUUGGCAACAAGAAGAAGGAUGGCUUUGGCAUACCUAAUACACA